UAGCUGGCAGAGAUGUUCAUGCGAUUGCAUUUCAGGUUUAGAAAGACCUCAUACUCCAUGAGUAACACCAGAUGACCUUAUUUCAGAACGUUUUCAGGAUACAUUUAAAUGUCAUCUUUAUGUAGCCGGACGAGUCCUUAUCUGGAGCAUUGUGAUGGGUUUUGUUGUGUCUCGCUCCUGCCCCACCUACUUCGUAAGUGGGUAAUUGGCAGCUGUGCUCCAUAAAAAGGAAGCGCGGCUAUCCAGGGCAGACGUCUGCUUUGUCCAGGGACGACUCUGACCGACCUAUCGCCUAUCCCCUAUCCCCGACCCCCGACGUUUGGCUGUAGUUUGUUCCACCAUUUGCUCCAGUAACAGAAGUCGCUGCUAAACUACUGGCUGGAUAUUCUCACGGCUGCUCUUUCCCCCGGUGUGCUCAUCAAUUCCAGCUUAGCAACAUCACAGAGUGUUGCGCUGUCCGGGCUCCCUACAUCUGACGUUAGCUGUUGCAUGGAUCUGUAUGGUAUCCUGAUGUGGUGACGGCCUUGCUGUUUUGUUCCUGUUUGGGGUUUGCUGUGUGGAGCGCCUUCCGCUUCUCUCUGUGGCCUUCCAUCGCUGCGUCUCUGAUGCAUGAUCGCUAGCUAACCUGGUGGUGGCUAUCUGCUUGGGCCAGUUUAGUGCGGACGUGCGUGUUUGUUGCAUGAGUGUGCAUGUGUGGGAGUUUGGUUUGCUUGCUGCUCUAUUGAUGCUCUGUGCUUUUCUCUGUAUUUUGUAUUGUCUUAUUUGUACUCAUUUGUUUGUUUGUUUUUCUACUGCAUGUACUGUCAAGUGGGCUUUCCCUGUGUAUGUUGCUUGUCUCUCC